AGUCUCGUUAACCUCAAAUUAACACAUCGCCGUUAACUUAAAUCCUAUCCAGUUCUCUGGAUUUUGCAGAGUGGUUUCUCCCUCUGUUUGACGCCUCCCUGUUAACUUUCGAGAGCCGUUUCGACGGCUCUUUUCUU
rfam:Devosia sp. Root413D1 contig_5, whole genome shotgun sequence.